UACGUAGGGUGCAGGCGUUACUCGGAAUUACUGGGCGUAAAGCGUGCGCAGGCGGUCUCUUAAGUCAGGUGUGAAAUCCCCGGGCUUAACCUGGGAACUGCGCUUGUAACUGAGAGGCUAGAGUGUGGCAGAGGGGGGUGGAAUUCCACGUGUAGCAGUGAAAUGCGUAGAGAUGUGGAGGAACACCGAUGGCGAAGGCAGCCCCCUGGGCUAACACUGACGCUCAUGCACGAAAGCGUGGGGAGCAAACAGG
rnacentral:rRNA from 1 species